rnacentral:rRNA from 1 species
GAUGAACGCUGGCGGCGUGCCUAAUACAUGCAAGUCGAGCGAACGGACGAGAAGCUUGCUUUUCUGAUGUUAGCGGCGGACGGGUGAGUAACACGUGGAUAACCUACCUAUAAGACUGGGAUAACUUCGGGAAACCGGAGCUAAUACCGGAUAAUAUUUUGAACCGCAUGGUUCAAAAGUGAAAGACGGUCUUGCUGUCACUUAUAGAUGGAUCCGCGCUGCAUUAGCUAGUUGGUAAGGUAACGGCUUACCAAGGCAACGAUGCAUAGCCGACCUGAGAGGGUGGACGGCCACACUGGAACUGAGACACGGUCCAGACUCCUACGGGAGGCAGCAGUAGGGAAUCUUCCGCAAUGGGCGAAAGCCUGACGGAGCAACGCCGCGUGAGUGAUGAAGGUCUUCGGAUCGUAAAACUCUGUUAUUAGGGAAGAACAUAUGUGUAAGUAACUGUGCACAUCUUGACGGUACCUAAUCAGAAAGCCACGGCUAACUACGUG